GCGGCAAGAGCUCAAAUUUGAAAUCCGGCCCCCCUGGGGGCCUGAGUUGUAAUUUGCAGAGGAUGCUUCGGGCGCGACCGCGGUCCAAGUCCCCUGGAACGGGGCGUCGUAGAGGGUGAGAAUCCCGUCUCCGGCCGGCCGGUCUCGCCCGUGUGAAGCUCCUUCGACGAGUCGAGUUGUUUGGGAAUGCAGCUCCAAAUGGGUGGUAAAUUUCAUCUAAAGCUAAAUACUGGUCGGAGACCGAUAGCGCACAAGUAGAGUGAUCGAAAGAUGAAAAGCACUUUGAAAAGAGAGUUAAACAGCAUGUGAAAUUGUUGAAAGGGAAGCGCUUGCGACCAAAGUCGGCCGCGGGGGCUCAGCGGGGCAUUCGUUGCCCGUGCAAUCCCCCGCGGCCGGGCCAGCGUCGGUUUCGACGGCCGGUCAAAGGCCCCCGGAAUGUGUCGCCUCUCGGGGGCGUCUUAUAGCCGGGGGUGCAAUGCGGCCAGUCGGGACCGAGGACCGCGCUCCGGCACGGACGCUG
rnacentral:rRNA from 1 species